AUUGAAUGCUGGCGGCAGGCCUAACACAUGCAAGUCGAGCGGUGCGGCGGACGGGCGAGUAAUGCCUAGGUAUCUGCCUGGUAGUGGGGGAUAACGUCCGGAAACGGGCGCUCAAACCGCAUACUCUCAGAUGAGCCUAGGUCGGAAUAGCUAGUUGGUGGGGUAAAGGCCUACUAAGGCGACGAUCCGUAAAUGGUCUGAGAGGAUGAUCAGUCACACUGGAACUGAGACACGGUCCAGACUCCUACGGGAGGCAGCAGUGGGGAAUAUUGGACAAUGGGCGAAAGCCUGAUCCAGCCAUGCCGCGUGUGUGAAGAAGGUCUUCGGAUUGUAAAGCACUUUAAGUUGGGAGGCGUUACCAACAGAAGAAGCACCGGCUAACUUCGUGCCAGCAGCCGCGGUAAUAC
rnacentral:rRNA from 1 species